GACGAACGCUGGCGGCGUGCUUAACACAUGCAAGUCGAACGGAAAGGCCCUGCUUUUGUGGGGUGCUCGAGUGGCGAACGGGUGAGUAACACGUGAGUAACCUGCCCUUGACUUUGGGAUAACUUCAGGAAACUGGGGCUAAUACCGGAUAGGAGCUCCUGCUGCAUGGUGGGGGUGGGAAAGUUUCGGCGGUUGGGGAUGGACUCGCGGCCUAUCAGCUUGUUGGUGGGGUAGUGGCUUACCAAGGCUUUGACGGGUAGCAGGCCUGAGAGGGUGACCGGCCACAUUGGGACGGGGAUACGGCCCAGACUCCUACGGGAGGCAGCAGUGGAGAAUAUUGCACAAUGGGCGGAAGCCUGAUGCAGCAACGCCGCGUGCGGGAUGACGGCCUUCGGGUUGUAAACCGCUUUCGCCUUUGACGAAGCGUGAGUGACGGUAAUGGGUAAAGAAGCACCGGCUAACUACGUG
rnacentral:rRNA from 1 species